rnacentral:lncRNA from 1 species
UAUUAUCAAAUUAAAAGAAAAGUAUUAUAAACAAACAAGUCAAUAUAAUUCAAAACACAAACAAAUUGAUACAUCAACUAUAAUUCAAAACAAAUACCAUUGAAAAAAAGAAAAUAUGUAAAAUCUGUACCGUGACAUACACUAAUGGUGUAAAAAACAAUCUGCUCUUGUAGCUAACCACUAUCAGAAUUGCCUAAAUAUAAACAUAAACCUAGUCUAAAAUUAAGGCCAAACUGAGUUAAAGUUGUUCAAUUCUUCUAAGAUCCAUUCAAUGUUUUCUCUUUCUCCUGGCGACUUGUUCAAUUCUUCUAAGAUCCAAACUGCAUAAGCCAAACAAUUUUCAAUUAAAAAUCAUAAUCCAUUUGUAGGAGAUCAGAUAAACAUAUUAUAAAAAGAGAAAUAGGUUCAAAUUUUGAAAGUCAAAUAAUUUCCAAGACAAUUGCAGUUCACAAUAAUUCAACCUAUGUAAAAACAGUGUUAUAACUAAAGCAGUAAAGUACCACAAAUAAAACAAUUAAAAAAAUGAAUAAACAUAUUACCAAUAAAUUCUUACACAUUGUGCAAUAACUGUGACAUGUUCCAUUUGUAGUUCUCUUACAAUGCAUGUCUGUGCUAAAUGAUAUUUACUAGAUUAGACAAGGGUAUUAAGUUUAGUAAUCAUGAUUUGGAAUUAAGGAGCUAUAGACAUUACCUAAUGGAUAAAACGAAUCGGUUAGAUUA